AUAUUUGAGCAAAACACUGAUGUUCAUUCGAUGAAUUUUGUAAAGAUUCAGCACAUUCACAGCGAUUGACAAAGUACGGACACUAGGUUUAGAUGACGAAAUAAAAAGAAUAUUCAGCAUUUUCUUUUUAUAAAAAGCAACAAGUUCGCGAUAUGCAACACGUGAGAAAAAAGCCUUGCUUUACGGAAACCAUUAUCGCUGACUGUUACGAAUUACAAUUGCUAAUGACACAAAUUCACGUUAACAAUUAUUUAUUCUCCGCAGUUUCUUUGGGGUGUUUGUUCUAAGUAUUUCCCUAGUGCAUACUAUCGUUGUAUACUCUUACAACAUGUUUGGCGUUUCCAUGGAAACUGAAUAAUUUGACUAACAAUUACGAGAAGUUGCAGUGGUUAGUUGAAUUAUUUCAAGCAAAAAUACACAUUUAGAUUGAAGUAAAUCACUUAUUUAUGUCAUAACCUAUUUUAGUAGCCACGAUUUUCUCACUUUAAAUAGGCCCAGAAGGUAUAAUGAGGCGAGAACUAAAUGUGCCCAUAAAUAUGACUAAAAGUCAAACCAGUCCGAAGUAUUUAUAAGCAGGUUAAUGAAGAAACUCUUAAACAUAAAAAAAACUGAAUUAGGGAGAAAAAUGUUUACAACUGUCAUUUAAUAGAGAUGAAGAACUUAUUUUAAAUUAUGGAAAAGUAAGAAAGGUACGUUGAAACUUGGAAAAGGCUGAGACCUUGGGCUAAAGUCCUGUCACCGACGCAGCUAUCCCUUUGUGCAAGAACUUCGUGACGCAAGUUCGCCGUACAGUGUACGAAGUGACAAGUUUACUCGACAAAAUCCAAUAGCUUUUAAAUUAUUAAUUAUAUCUGACUCUUGCUACUCUAGAUACUUAAUUGAAUAACGAUUGUAACGAUCACGUAGGUUUUGUUGUGACAUUUUCUGAAUUUUCUGCCUUGUUUCCAAUGCGUCCAGCUGAAAGUAGAUUUGUAGAUUUAUGUUAAGAGUUUUAGCAUGAAAUAAAUGAAAUGCUCGUUUUCAUUUUACUCAAUACACAAAGUUAAUGCACGUUUCGCCGUACUUUUUGGUAAAUCUGAUAUUUCCGUUCUGAUCAGUCUCGAUAAUAUAAUGAAUACAAAAACGCCUUGCUGCCAGUUUUUCAGGAAGGUUGCAUUGUUUCAUAUUCAUCGCCGUGAAAAUUUAUUCCAGCCAUAUUUACGAUGAGCCCAAAAAAUCAACCGUAAAUUAGUAAAUACGCGGCGUGGUGUCUCGAAACAUUUAUGAAGCACUUUCUUCACUUUAAAAAUGCAUGGGCGUUUCAAGAACAAAGACUUCUAUUUUCAUUAAAUAAGAAUGCGAGCAGAGGUUAGUUGUAACAAGAAUGUUAAAAAUAAUUUAAAAGAAGGUUGAAUGGUUUCUCUGAUCAAUUGUUCGAUUAAACCACGUAGAGUAUAUAAGGAGCAUUGUUAGGUGUGUUGAAAUAGUAAAAGGCAGUGAGAGCGAACGAAAUGGCAACAAUAUCAGCAAGGUCGAGUUAUACGAUAGUACGUGAUAAACUAGACUGUAUUGCAGUGUGUGGCUAAAUUGUACCGUAGAAAAUAAGAUCAAUCAAAAUAACAAUGCGCAAUACAUACAAAUAUGAGGAAGCAACUCGGUACGUUUGUAUUUCUUUUUGACUGUUGCCUCCUUACACUGGUAAACCUGUUUUCAUAUUUUUUCAUAUGUAUUAAUAACCUAUUUGGUGGAUAAAGGACUCUUUUUGCUCCAAGUUGUUCUCUGCUGAACCAGUAAUCACACGUCAUGGGUACUUUU